CGAGUGAACGCUGGCGGCAGGCCUAAUACAUGCAAGUCGAACGGCAGCACGGCAGAGCUUGCUCUGUGGGUGGCGAGUGGCGGACGGGUGAGGAAUACAUGGGAAUCUGCCCAGUCGUGGGGGAUAACGUAGGGAAACUUACGCUAAUACCGCAUGCGCCCUUCGGGGGAAAGCCGGGGACCUUCGGGCCUGGCGCGAUUGGAUGAGCCCAUGUCGGAUUAGCUAGUUGGCGGGGUAAUGGCCCACCAAGGCGACGAUCCGUAGCUGGUCUGAGAGGAUGAUCAGCCACACUGGAACUGAGACACGGUCCAGACUCCUACGGGAGGCAGCAGUAGGGAAUAUUGGACAAUGGGCGCAAGCCUGAUCCAGCCAUGCCGCGUGAGUGAAGAAGGCCCUCGGGUUGUAAAGCUCUUUUGUCCGGAAAGAAAAGCGCCGGGUUAAUACCCUGGUGUCCUGACGGUACCGGAAGAAUAAGCACCGGCUAACUUCGUG
rnacentral:rRNA from 1 species